GAGAGCGGCGCCCCGCGUGUCACAUCCAGCCGCGAAAUCAUCCAAGAAGACGACGAAGAGGCCCUGACACAGGCAACUCGGAGAUGUGGGAGACUGCUCUUCAGGAGAUGGCGGAGACAGUGCCACUCCUUCCCCCGGAGGAGGGCCUGGUGGAGAAUUAUUUUUGCUCCGCCGCUGGUCCAACGGCCAGCGGUACCCACAGUUUCAAUAAAAGAGCAAUUUCCCUUUCCUCUGAGUUGCAAGGCUCGUGGGUUGACAAUGAGCGACGCACUGCCUCCUUAUUCUCACCCACGACGCCCCCUUUCGCCAGUGGCCAAGAGGUUGCGGUUCGGAGACGCAACGCCUCUCCACGCAUCUCUGUCGGGAACACGGGGAGUUUUGCUGUGAUGACUCAGAACGCGAUGCUUUCUGGGCCAUCCGACACAACUCCCCAUCGCUGCACCACUGCGGGUAUGUCGACUUUCCCUUUGGUGCCACUUGUACGGAGUUUGGGGGCGUGGCUUGCGCUGCCCAACCCGUCAUGCUGGCUCAUUUGGAUGGUUCGACUCGGUUAUGCGGUUCAGUUCGCCCGGCGACUUCCCAAGUUCGAAUGGCGUUCUCGAGGCUCCGGUGGCAGUCCGGGACGCCUCUGUCCUGCGCGAGGAGAUUGCUGUCCGGCGGGCGAAGGAUGCAAUCAAGCCGGUCCCUCCAGCCGAGAUGAGGAGCGGGUUUUACAACCCUUACUUCAUCAUACCCAAGAAAAGCGGUGGCCUUCGACCUAUCCUGGGUCUGCGAGUCUUGAAUCGGGUCCUGCACAAGCUCCCGCUCAAGAUGAUGACGCAGAAACUUAUUAUCAAAUGCGUCCAAACCCAGGAUUGGUUUGCAGCGAUCGACCUGAAGGAUGAGUUCUUUCAUGUCUCGAUCCUCCCUUACCACAGACCGGUUCUGCGGUUUGCGUUCAAGGGUCGGGCAUGGCAGUACAAGGUCCUCCCCCUCGGGCUCUCCCUGUCUCCCGUGUCUUCACGAAGGUCGCGGUGGGUGCCCUUGCCCCACUCUGGGAAGUGGGCAUCAGGAUCCUCAACUAUCUCGACCCGAGAGGAGUUGUGCGUUCACAGGGACCUGGUGCUUCGGCACCUCAGUCAGUUGGGGCUUCAGGUCAACCGAGGAAAGAGCAAGCUCUCCUCUGCGCAGAGAAUCUCUUAUCUCAGUAUGGAGUUAGACUCGGUGAGUAUGACGGCACGUCUCUCCAGCGAGCAUGCCCAGUCAGUGCUGAACUGCCUGAGUUCCUUCAGAGGCAGGACACACGAAGGUCGCGGAGGGCGCCCUUGCCCCACUUUGGGAAGUGGGCAUCAGGAUCCUCAACUAUCUCGACGACUGGCUCAUUAUGGCCCGGUCCCGAGAGGAGUUGUGCGAUCACAGGGACUUCGUGCUCCGGCACCUCAGUCAGUUGGGGCUUCAGGUCAACCGAGAGAAGAGCAAGCUCUCCCCUGCGCAGAGAAUCUCUUAUCUCGGUAUGGAGUUAGACUCGGUGAGUAUGACGGCACGUCUCACCAGCGAGCGUGCCCAGUCAGUGCUGAACUGCCUGAGUUCCUUCAGAGGCAGGACAGUGGUACCACUGAAACACUUUCAGAGGCUCCUGGGGCAUAUGGCAUCCGCAGCCGCAGUCACGCCGCUCGGGUUGCUUCAUAUGAGGCCACUUCAGCACUGGUUGCACUCCCGAGUCCCGAGAUGGGCAUGGCGCCGCGGUACACAUCGUGUCACCAUCACACCGAUGUGUCGCCGCCAAUUCAGCCCCUGGUCAGACCUUGCCUUUCUACGGGCCGGCGUGCCCUUAGAACAAGUGUCCCGGCAUGUUGUUGUCACAACAGAUGCCUCCAAAACGGGCUGGGGCGCGACAUGCAACGGGCAGGCAGCUUCAGGGUCCUGGACAGGACCUCGACUGCUUUGGCACAUCAACUGUCUGGAGUUGCUGGCAGUGCAUCUAGCUUUACGACGGUUUCGGCCGCUGUUGCUAGACAAGCACGUGUUGGUCCGCACGGACAACACUGCGGCUGUUUCGUACAUCAACCGACAGGGCGGUCUACGAUCACGUCGCAUGUCUCAACUCGCCCGCCAUCUCCUCCUCUGGAGUCAGACGCGGCUCAAGUCGCUGCGCGCUAUCCACAUCCCGGGGGAGUUCAAUCGUGCAGCCGAUGUGCUUUCACGACAGCUCACUUUCCCCGGGGAAUGGCGACUCCAUCCCCAGACGGUCCAGCUGAUUUGGAGUCGAUUCGGGGAAGCCCAGGUAGACCUGUUUGCUUCCCACGAGUCCUCCCACUGCCAGCUGUACUAUUCCCUGUCCCAGGCCCCCCUGGGCAUGGAUGCACUGGCA
ensembl:lncRNA